AGGCCCAGUGGCUUAAAGGAAUGAUUUGCUCCAGUCUGAGCUGGGAUUUGAACCAGGGUCUUUCUGAUGAGAAAGCCAUCCCCUUUCUUUGAUGCUAAACCGCUUCUGGUGAGGCCGGCCGGAGGCAGGCAUGCGAUGGCACAGAAAGGCCUGCCCUGGGCCACCAGGACAGCGGCUGAGACACAGACUUCCAAGAACCCUCUUCAAAGCGGCCGGAGGCAUUCAGCAAGGCCGGCAUUCAUGCUGGAAGGAUUUCUCCAUUGUCUCCACCAGCAGAGCUGCUUCACACCGCCUCUGAUUCAUUUUGUGAGACAUCGCAACCAGAUGCCUUUGAUGCGGCCAAUUCCAAGUCCUCAGGCUCCAGGCCGGCUUCCCCACCAGCAGCAGCCCAAUCGCUCCUCUGUUAGCAGGUGCUGACUUAGACGCUGCUUCUCUUUACGGAUCAAGGUAAAAGGUGCACUCUCUCUCGGGUGCCAUUGGCAUGGCAGA